AUACGGAGGGUGCGAGCGUUGUUCGGAAUUACUGGGCGUAAAGGGCGCGUAGGCGGCUUUACAAGUCAGGUGUGAAAGUCCACGGCUCAACCGUGGAAGUGCAUUUGAAACUGUAAGGCUUGAGUACUGGAGGGGAGUGUGGAAUUCCUGGUGUAGAGGUGAAAUUCGUAGAGAUCAGGAGGAAUACCGGUGGCGAAGGCGACACUCUGGACAGAUACUGACGCUGAGGCGCGAAAGCGUGGGGAGCAAACAGGAUUAGAAACCCGGGUAGUCC
rnacentral:rRNA from 1 species